rnacentral:rRNA from 1 species
UACGUAGGGUGCAAGCGUUAAUCGGAAUUACUGGGCGUAAAGCGUGCGCAGGCGGUUUUGUAAGUCUGUCGUGAAAUCCCCGGGCUCAACCUGGGAAUUGCGAUGGAGACUGCAAGGCUAGAAUCUGGCAGAGGGGGGUAGAAUUCCACGUGUGAGCAGUGAAAUGCGUAGAGAUGUGGAGGAACACCGAUGGCGAAGGCAGCCCCCUGGGUCAAGGAUUGA